rnacentral:rRNA from 1 species
AGAGUUUGAUCCUGGCUCAGAACGAACGCUGGCGGCGCGCUUAACACAUGCAAGUCGAGCGAUUAAAGCUCCCUUCGGGGAGUGUAUAAAGCGGCGGACGGGUGAGUAAUACAUAGAUAAUCUGCCCUAGAGCGGGGGAUACCCACUGGAAACGGUGGUUAAUACCGCGUACAUUAGCCCCUCAUAAGGGGGGUUAACAAAGGCUUCGGCCACUUUGGGAUGAGUCUGUGUCCGAUUAUGCUAGUUGGUGGGGUAAAGGCCUACCAAGGCUUCGAUCGGUAGCUGGUCUGAGAGGACGAUCAGCCACACUGGGACUGAGAUACGGCCCAGACUCCUACGGGAGGCAGCAGUGAGGAAUUUUGCGCAAUGGGCGAAAGCCUGACGCAGCGACGCCGCGUGAAGGAUGAAGUCCUUCGGGAUGUAAACUUCUGUCAGUGGGAACGAAAAAAAUGACGGUACCCACAAAGGAAGCACCGGCUAACUCCGUGCCAGCAGCCGCGGUAAUACGGAGGGUGCAAGCGUUGUUCGGAUUUACUGGGCGUAAAGCGUAUGUAGGCGGUUGGUUAAGUCCCGUGUUAAAUCUCAAGGCUCAACCUUGAAACUGCACGCGAUACUGGCCAACUUGAGGGCAGUAGAGGAGGGUGGAAUUCCCAAUGUAGCGGUGAAAUGCGUAGAUAUUGGGAGGAACAUCAGUAGCGAAGGCGACCCUCUGGGCUGUCCCUGACGCUGAGGUACGAAAGCGUGGGUAGCGAACGGGAUUAGAUACCCCGGUAGUCCACGCCGUAAACGAUGUAUAUUAGGUGUAGCUGGUAUCGACCCUGGCUGUGCCGUAGCUAACGCGUUAAAUAUACCGCCUGGGGAGUACGUGCGCAAGCAUGAAACUCAAAGGAAUUGACGGGGGCCCGCACAAGCGGUGGAGGAUGUGGUUUAAUUCGAUGCAACGCGAAGAACCUUACCAGGGCUUGACAUUCAGCGAAAGCCUGGGAAACCAGGAAGUGCCUUCGGGAGCGCUGAAACAGGUGGUGCAUGGCUGUCGUCAGCUCGUGUCGUGAGAUGUUGGGUUAAGUCCCGCAACGAGCGCAACCCUCGGGCUUAGUUGCCAUCAGGUAAUGCUGGGUACUCUAGACCGACUGCCGGUGACAAACCGGAGGAAGGUGGGGACGACGUCAAGUCAUCAUGCCCCUUACGCUCUGGGCUACACACGUCCUACAAUGGUCAGGAUAGAGGGGAGCGAAGCCGCGAGGUGAAGCGAAUCUCACAAACCUGGCCUCAGUUCAGAUUGCAGGCUGCAACUCGCCUGCAUGAAGGAGGAAUCGCUAGUAAACGCAGAUCAGCAUGCUGCGUUGAAUACGUUCCCGGGCCUUGUACACACCGCCCGUCACACCACGAAAGUUCGUCACUCCCGAAGUCGGUGGGCUAACCCAUUAGGGAGGCAGUCGCCUAAGGAAGGGCGGAUGAUUGGGGUGAAGUCGUAACAAGGUAACC